AUUGAACGCUGGCGGCAGGCUUAACACAUGCAAGUCGAGCGGGGACUUCGGUCCUAGCGGCGAACGGGUGAGGAAUGCUUGGGAAUCUGCCCAGUAGUGGGGGAUAACGUUUCGAAAGGAACGCUAAUACCGCAUACGUCCUACGGGAGAAAGGGGGGGAUCUUCGGACCUCUCGCUAUUGGAUGAGCCCAAGUCGGAUUAGCUAGUUGGUGAGGUAAAGGCUCACCAAGGCGACGAUCCGUAGCUGGUCUGAGAGGAUGAUCAGCCACACUGGAACUGAGACACGGUCCAGACUCCUACGGGAGGCAGCAGUGGGGAAUAUUGGACAAUGGGCGAAAGCCUGAUCCAGCCAUGCCGCGUGUGUGAAGAAGGCCUUCGGGUUGUAAAGCACUUUAAGCGAGGAGGAAUGGCUCUUGGUUAAUAACCUUGAGCAGUGACGUUACUCGCAGAAUAAGCACCGGCUAACUCUGUGCCAGCAGCCGCAGUAAUAC
rnacentral:rRNA from 1 species